rnacentral:tRNA from 1 species
ACGGUGCCGGUCGGGGUGUUCUCGCAGCGGUUCGUCGAGCGGGUCGACGCGCUCCAGGUCCGUGUGCGGGUCACGGACGUCGUG